UCCGGUUUGUCACCGGCAGUCUCAUUAGAGUGCUCUUUCGUAGCAACUAAUGACAAGGGUUGCGCUCGUUGCGGGACUUAACCCAACAUCUCACGACACGAGCUGACGACAGCCAUGCAGCACCUGUGUCCAGGUUCCCUUUCGGGCACCCCCCCAUCUCUGGGGGGUUCCUGGCAUGUCAAGGGUAGGUAAGGUUUUUCGCGUUGCAUCGAAUUAAUCCACAUAAUCCACCGCUUGUGCAGGCCCCCGUCAAUUUCUUUGAGUUUUAAUCUUGCGACCGUACUCCCCAGGCGGCACGUUUAACGCGUUAGCUUCGCCACGGACGGGGUCGAAUCCGCCCACAGCAAACGUGCACCGUUUACGGCUAGGACUAC
rnacentral:misc_RNA from 1 species